rnacentral:rRNA from 1 species
CCUACGAGGGUCUGCAGUGAGGAAUAUUGGUCAAUGGGCGCGAGCCUGAACCAGCCAAGUAGCGUGAAGGAUGACUGCCCUACGGGUUGUAAACUUCUUUUAUAAAGGAAUAAAGUGAGGCACGUGUGCCUUUUUGUAUGUACUUUAUGAAUAGGGAUCGGCUAACUCCGUGCCAGCAGCCGCGGUAAUACGGAGGAUCCGAGCGUUAUCCGGAUUUAUUGGGUUUAAAGGGAGCGGAGAUGGGUUGUUAAGUCAGUUGUGAAAGUUUGCGGCUCAACCGUAAAAUUGCAAUUGAUACUGGCAGUCUUGAGUACAGUUGAGGUAGGCGGAAUUCGUGGUGUAGCGGUGAAAUGCUUAGAGAUCACGAAGAACUCCGAUUGCGAAGGCAGCUUACUAAACUGCCACUGACAUUGAUGCUCGAAAGUGUGGGUAUCAAACAGGAUUAGAUACCCGAGUAGUC